AAGUUUGAAUGAGGUGACAAAUGCCAAGAGGCAUUUGAUAUCUUUAAAGAGAAAUUUAGUACCUUUCCUAUCUUAAGACCCCUCGAUUGGUCAUUGCCCUUCCAUGUACUUUGUGAUGCUUAAUCUAUAGCCGUUGUUGUAAUAUGUGAAGUCUUGCUUGAGAAUGCUCCAUGUACCUGGUUGUGGAAGGUAGAAUGGAAAUUGCAACAACAAAAUCCUAACUAUAAUAGAAUACUAACUAAACUCUAAUUAGACUACAAUAAUGCUAAGAAAGCUUUAAUCAAAUUCAAAGAAACCUCAAAGAAAUUUCAAAGAAAUAAUAAGAAGUCUUAAAGAAAUAUUAGAAUGAUUACAAAUAUCUCUCAAAUACAUCUCAAUUCAAUCUUAAUUUAAUCCUAGUUAAUAUCCUAUUGGACUUCAAUCAAACUUUAGGCCAAAAUUAAUUAAAUCUUAAAUCCUAAAUAAACCCUAAUAAAAUCCUAAACCCUAAAUCAAACCCUAAAUCCUAAACUAAAUCCUAACUAAAUCUUAAAUCCUAAACCAAAUCUUAAAUCCUAAACCAAAUCUUAAACCUUCAAUUGAACUCUAAACCCUAAAACAAAUCGUAACCAAACCCUAAAAUAAAUUGUAACCAAAUCUUAAAUGAAAUCCUAACCAAGUUUAAUCUUUAAUCAAAUCUUAAUCAAAUUCUAAAUCCUAAAUCUUA
rnacentral:lncRNA from 1 species